UACAGAGGUCUCAAGCGUUGUUCGGAUUCAUUGGGCGUAAAGCGCUCGCAGGUGGUUCGAUGCGUCGUGCGUGAAAGACCCCGGCUCAACUGGGGAGGGUCGUGCGAUACGGUCGAACUGGAGGCCAGUAGGGGGAUGCGGAAUUCCGGGUGUAGUGGUGGAAUGCGUAGAGAUCCGGAGGAACACCAGCGGCGAAGGCGGCAUCCUGGACUGGUCCUGACACUCAGGAGCGAAAGCGUGGGGAGCGAUCCGG
rnacentral:rRNA from 1 species